CCUACGGGGUGCAGCAGUGGGGAAUAUUGGGCAAUGGGCGCAAGCCUGACCCAGCAACGCCGCGUGAAGGAUGACUGCCCUACGGGUUGUAAACUUCUUUUAUAAAGGAAUAAAGUGAGGCACGUGUGCCUUUUUGUAUGUACUUUAUGAAUAAGGAUCGGCUAACUCCGUGCCAGCAGCCGCGGUAAUACGGAGGAUCCGAGCGUUAUCCGGAUUUAUUGGGUUUAAAGGGAGCGUAGAUGGGUUGUUAAGUCAGUUGUGAAAGUUUGCGGCUCAACCGUAAAAUUGCAAUUGAUACUGGCAGCCUUGAGUACAGUUGAGGUAGGCGGAAUUCGUGGUGUAGCGGUGAAAUGCUUAGAUAUCACGAAGAACUCCGAUUGCGAAGGCAGCUUACUAAACUGCCACUGACAUUGAUGCUCGAAAGUGUGGGUAUCAAACAGGAUUAGAUACCCCAGUAGUC
rnacentral:rRNA from 1 species